GCUCCGUUAACUCAGUUGGUUAGAGUGUAGUGCUAAUACGCCCCCUUGUGGGUAUGAUGGACGCUAAAGUCACAGGUUCGAUCCCUGUACAGAGCA